rnacentral:ncRNA from 2 species
CUACCGUGGCGCCGCCAUGGUUUUAUCGCUUCAUGCGAAUGAAGCGAUUGAAUUAAAAGGGAAGCCGGUGCGCCGCGCGAUGCGGCAAUUCCGGCGCUGCCCCGCAGCGGUAACUGGAAACGACCUCCGUCAAUGCACUGGCGCCCGUCCGGGCCGGGAAGCGACGGACAGUAGGCCCGCCACCUUUGAAGGUGGCCCGUCCAUGAGCCCGAAGACCUGCCCUGGCCGUCCGCGUCGA